rnacentral:tRNA from 1 species
AUACGUGUAGUUCAAGCUAGGCAGAGCAUCGGUCUCCAAAACCGAAGGUUGUAGGUUCAAACCCUGCUGCGUAUG